UACGGAGGGGGCAAGCGUUAUUCGGAAUUAUUGGGCGUAAAGGGCGCGUAGGCGGCUUGACAAGUCAAAGGUGAAAUCCCUCGGCUCAACUGAGGAACUGCCUUUGAAACUGUCUGGCUUGAGGCCGGGAGGGGGUAGCGGAAUUCCCAGUGUAGCGGUGAAAUGCGUAGAUAUUGGGAGGAACACCAGUGGCGAAGGCGGCUACCUGGACCGGUUCUGACGCUGAUGCGCGAAAGCGUGGGUAGCAAACGAGU
rnacentral:rRNA from 1 species